rnacentral:rRNA from 1 species
AUACAGAGGGUGCAAGCGUUAAUCGGAAUUACUGGGCGUAAAGCGCGCGUAGGCGGCUUGGUAAGUCGGAUGUGAAAGCCCUGGGCUCAACCUGGGAAUUGCACUCGAUACUGCAGAGCUAGAGUAUGGUAGAGGGAAGUGGAAUUUCCGGUGUAGCGGUGAAAUGCGUAGAUAUCGGAAGGAACACCAGUGGCGAAGGCGACUUCCUGGGCCAAUACUGACGCUGAGGUGCGAAAGCGUGGGGAGCAAACAGGAUUAGAAACCCCGGUAGUCC